rnacentral:rRNA from 1 species
CGCGUAUGCAACCUACCUCUUACUGGAGGAUAGCCCGAAGAAAUUCGGAUUAAGACUCCAUAGUAUUUCGAUCUCACAUGAGAUUGAAAUUAAAGGUUACGGUAAGAGAUGGGCAUGCGUCCUAUUAGCUAGAUGGUAAGGUAACGGCUUACCAUGGCAACGAUAGGUAGGGGCCUGAGAGGGUGAUCCCCCACACUGGUACUGAGACACGGACCAGACUCCUACGGGAGGCAGCAGUGAGGAAUAUUGGGCAAUGGAGGCAACUCUGACCCAGCCAUGCCGCGUGCAGGAAGACGGUCC